rnacentral:rRNA from 1 species
UACGGAGGGAGCUAGCGUUGUUCGGAAUUACUGGGCGUAAAGCGCACGUAGGCGGCUUUGUAAGUUAGAGGUGAAAGCCCGGGGCUCAACUCCGGAACUGCCUUUAAGACUGCAUCGCUUGAAUCCAGGAGAGGUGAGUGGAAUUCCGAGUGUAGAGGUGAAAUUCGUAGAUAUUCGGAAGAACACCAGUGGCGAAGGCGGCUCACUGGACUGGUAUUGACGCUGAGGUGCGAAGGCGUGGGGAGCAAACAGG